rnacentral:rRNA from 1 species
GAUGAACGCUGGCGGCGUGCCUAAUACAUGCAAGUCGUACGGAAAGGCCCUUCGGGGUACUCGAGUGGCGGACGGCUGAGUAACGCGUGGGAACGUGCCCCAAAGUGAGGGAUAACGCACCGAAAGGUGUGCUAAUACCGCAUAUGGUCUUCGGAUUAAAGCUUCGGCGCUUUGGGAGCGGCCCGCGUACGAUUAGAUAGUUGGUGAGGUAAUGGCUCACCAAGUCGACGAUCGUUAGCUGGUCUGAGAGGAUGAUCAGCCAGACUGGGACUGAGACACGGCCCAGACUCCUACGGGAGGCAGCAGUAAGGAAUCUUCCACAAUGGGGGCAACCCUGAUGGAGCAACGCCGCGUGCAGGAUGAAGGUUUUCGGAUCGCAAACUGCUUUUAUAAGUGAAGAACAUGACGGUAACUUAUGAAUAAGGAUCGGCUAACUACGUGCCAGCCGCCGCGGUAA